rnacentral:rRNA from 1 species
AGGGAACGCUGGCGGUAGGCCUAACACAUGCAAGUCGAACGGCAGCACAGUAAGAGCUUGCUCUUACGGGUGGCGAGUGGCGGACGGGUGAGGAAUACAUCGGAAUCUACUUUUUCGUGGGGGAUAACGUAGGGAAACUUACGCUAAUACCGCAUACGACCUACGGGUGAAAGCAGGGGAUCUUCGGACCUUGCGCGAUUGAAUGAGCCGAUGUCGGAUUAGCUAGGUGGCGGGGUAAAGGCCCACGAAGGCGACGAUCCGUAGCUGGUCUGACAGGAUGAUCGGCCACACUGGAACUGAGACACGGUCCAGACUCCUACGGGAGGCAGCAGUGGGGAAUAUUGGACAAUGGGCGCAAGCCUGAUCCAGCCAUACCGCGUGGGUGAAGAAGGCCUUCGGGUUGUAAAGCCCUUUUGUUGGGAAAGAAAAGCAGCAGGUUAAUACCCAGCUGUUCUGACGGUACCCAAAGAAUAAGCACCGGCUAACUUCGUG